AUCGCAGAUACAUGUGCAUGAGAAAGAAAAGUGUUGAUGUUUGCUUGUUCGGGCUGAUGGGGAUGGCCCACGAAUUUAGGAUUAAAUUACUGGUGGUAAUCGUGCAUCUGUGAGAAGGCAGUGGAGCGGCACGUCGGCAGGGUGCUGCGCCCAUUGAUUCAAAAGGUGGUUCAAGAAGCCGCUGAAAAAUGCUGGACCUGUGGCAGAAGUGCAAAGUGUGCUUGUUUAUUUUAAAACGAAGAUUUCUCCUAAUGGAAAAAUCAAACAAAGUGCACAGGGGAAUCAGUGAGCAAGAAGAGGAAAAAUUACAAGAAGACUGAUACCAAAUACUCCUGAAAGCUGACACCUGGCAAGCAGCACGUUACACUUCCAUCGCAAGCGUGUGACACAAGAGAAGGAUUUGAGGCCAUCAGAGCUACGAAAGCUAUUGCUGGUGUGAUCCUAGGACAUUUUAACGUGACUUCAUUUUGCUUUUAUGUGCUAUUCCUGUGCAUCCUGAAUGCAUAAGUGUGACAGAGGAGUUUUAAAGAAUGCCAAAGGAAAGUGCCAAUGAUGUGUGCCGGACAUCUCAUAACAAGAACAUCUCCCUCCACCUUCCCUUUCUUUUUUUUUUUUUUUUUUUUGGCAAAA